rnacentral:rRNA from 1 species
UACGAAGGUGGCAAGCGUUGUCCGGAUUUACUGGGCGUAAAGAGCGCGCAGGCGGUCGUUCAAGUCGCGUGUGAAAGCCCCCGGCUCAACUGGGGAGGGUCACGCGAUACUGAUCGACUCGAAGGCAGGAGAGGGUAGUGGAAUUCCCGGUGUAGUGGUGAAAUGCGUAGAUAUCGGGAGGAACACCAGUGGCGAAGGCGACUUACUGGACACAUAUUGACGCUGAGGUGCGAAAGCGUGGGGAGCAAACAGG